AGAGUUUGAUCAUGGCUCAGAACGAACGCUGGCGGCGUGCCUAACACAUGCAAGUCGUACGAGAAAUCCUGGGCAACUGGGAGAGUAAAGUGGCGCACGGGUGAGUAACGCGUGGGUAACCUACCCUUGAAUUGGGGAUAACUCCUCGAAAGGGGAGUUAAUACCGAAUAAUAUUCCGAUGCCUUCGGGUGUUGGAAUCAAAGAUGGCCUCUGCAUGCAAGCUAUCGUUUAAGGAUGGGCCCGCGUACCAUUAGCUAGUUGGCAGGGUAAUGGCCUACCAAGGCAACGAUGGUUAGCUGGUCUGAGAGGAUGGCCAGCCACACUGGAACUGAGACACGGUCCAGACUCCUACGGGAGGCAGCAGUGGGGAAUCUUGCGCAAUGGGGGAAACCUUGACGCAGCAACGCCGCGUGGGUGAUGAAGGCCUUCGGGUCGUAAAGCCCUGUCAGGUGGGAAGAAACUUGUGGACGUUAAUACCAUCCACACUUGACGGUACCACCGGAGGAAGCACCGGCUAACUCCGUGCCAGCAGCCGCGGUAAUACGGAGGGUGCAAGCGUUGUUCGGAAUUACUGGGCGUAAAGCGCGUGUAGGCGGUUGGGCAAGUCAGAUGUGAAAGCCUUCUGCUUAACAGAAGAAGUGCAUUUGAAACUACCCGGCUAGAGUACGAGAGAGGAGAGUGGAAAUUCCCGGUGUAGAGGUGAAAUUCGUAGAUAUCGGGAGGAACACCAGUGGCGAAGGCGGCUCUCUGGCUCGAUACUGACGCUGAGACGCGAAAGCGUGGGGAGCAAACAGGAUUAGAUACCCUGUAGUCCACGCCCUAAACGAUGGGCACUAGUGUAGGAGGUAUUGACCCCUUCUGUGCCGAAGCUACGCAUUAAGUGCCCCGCCUGGGGAGUACGGCCGCAAGCUAAACUCAAGGAAUGACGAUC
rnacentral:rRNA from 1 species